CCGUUUAGGGCAAAGGGUUUGUAAACCCUAGCUGCGCCGCCUGCAUUUUCCAUCUCUCUCUUCGUCACCCUGACCAUUUUUGGCAGAGUCAAGGCUGUACAAUGCUUGUAACAGUCUAUGCGUGGCCAUUUGUGGCAAAACAUUAAUUUCAUCUUCUCUCUCCGUCGUUAUACAACCGCGAAGAGAGUACGUGGCUAGAUUGACUUCUUCUCCUCGAGACUGACUCCCGAGGAAUCGCUGACGAGCAUCUAGGGUGAGCACAUGGCUAUAUCCGCAACCCGGAUGACUCCUCUCAGCUUACUUGUCUUAUUCGCUACUUCUGAGACAGUAUUUCAUUUUGAGACUAUGUAUUCAGACUUUCAGUUAUGUAGUGGCUCUUGUUUGGCAUAGACCAGAUUUUGGGAUUGAUGUAAUAUUUCCACACUUAUUUACUUAUCUAUUUCAGACUGGUUAGAUAUUUAUGUUGGUUGGGUUAUUUAUUGUUGUUUGAAUGAUGAUUAAGGGACUGGUUGGCCUACUAAGUGGGAAAAGGGUAGGUGCCAGCACGUUUCCCCGAUUUGGGACGUGACAAUAUAAACUUCUUCAAAUAAAAUAAACUUUUGCCAAAA